rnacentral:lncRNA from 1 species
AUCCGACAAAUGUUAUAAGUGCUACACUCAUGAACUUUUCAUCUAUCAACUUUGUCUUGCUCACUAUGCUUAGGGUUAGAGAAGAAUAAAUACACUUUAGGUUCUGUUGGUGUUUUCCACCAACAGGACCCAUGCACUUGAUCUCUGCCUUGUCUCUAUGAGCAGGUACACUUCGAGCAAAACACGGAGGAGUUUUAUAACUCUCAGACUCUACCAAGUGAAGGACCUGGAUCUACAAGCACAAACACACUGAGCAGGAUACUGCCAACGCCGCACUUCGAACUGCUGGGCAAACGAAGAACGUGGGUGACACCGUAUCAAGAGGUGCAGACGUCAAGGUCCGCACCUAAAUCAAAUGACGCACCUGAAGAAUGAACACAGUGAAAAGUCUUGUCAAGAAGACUUAAAACAUUGAACCCUCGCCGAAAGGUAAGAUCGGUAGUUAUCCAUAUUUAUCCCUUCUGAAUUCUCUUUUCCCUUUAAUUAUUUACUUUCCUUAAAUAGAUUAUUAGUUAAUCAUGCUAUCUUGAAACGAAAAUAAAAAUGUUAAAAAAUACUAAGCCCCAUGUGAGUAUACGAGUGGCAUAAAACCCAUAAGUACCUUCACUAUGGUGGCAUAAAAAUAAAAUAAAUAUUUCUUUUCUGCUUUAUAAAAUAAAAAUAUAAAAACAGGGAGUAAUAUUUAUUGAGGAAGCUCAACAUGAUGAAAGCUAGAUAUUUAUGCUAACACUUAAUUAGUUCCACAAGCUUUGUUCUCUAUUUGAGCUCCACAGAAUUUAAGAAUCAAGAAGACUAGCAGACGGAGGACAUUCUAAUCGCUGUCAGAAUGUUGCUGACUUUCAAAUACACCUCUGCCACCUGCUAGCUACAUCAAGAGAAAUUACGUCAAAAUUCAGCUUGGGGGAGAGCACCCCCAUUUAUCUCGCUAAGUAUUUCUACCUAUCUUUAUACUUAUAUUAUAUUAGAAUAUUAAAAUACAUAAACUAUGAAAAACCAAAUAAAGAUUUUGUGCUUAUAUAUAUAUAUAUCUUUUGCUUAGCGUGUUUAAUAAAUAAAUAAAGUGGCUAUGCUAAUCUGAAUCUUAAUAAUAAAACUCUAGCAUGGAUAUGAUGAAUAGUUGCUCUGCCAUGACUAGUUCUCAAAAAUUGAAUUCUAUCUCAAGUUUACGCAUGACUGUUAUGAAUUAAGAUUUGCUCUAAACCUGAACUUGUGGGAAGAGUACUUGAUCUAAAGUCUAAGUCGUUAACGGAUAUGAUAUGGGAAGGUUGAGUUGCUAUUUAUCUGUUCCUAGAGAUGCUAGAAAUCUGGAGAAUUUUAUCUUUGAAAAUCAUUAAAAUAUUGCAUGAUGAGUUCCUGUAUGAUGGGAGUUUAAAAUCCUACCACAGCCAUAUAUAUAUGCUUAUUAGACUAUGAACCAUACAUUUACUUUUUACUGCUUAUGAGCAUUGAGUGUGGUCAAGCUGUUUAGACCCUUAGGAGCUUGUCAUAUGGUUAAAUCAAGAUCCACUUGCACGUUCACUCAUACAUGCUGCUACUACUCUGGAAGUACGCAUCCACAUACAUCCACUCAUUUCCAUCUCCAGAUUCACCCAAAAAUAUUCUACUCCUAAUCCGGGAGAGAAUAGCCAAAAAUAUUUCUGUUUUCCCUUGUGAAAUAAAUGCUCAAGUUAUCUUGCUACUACCACUUGCUAUAUUAUCUCAAGAGAUGAGUGCUCUGAAAAGAAAAAAAAGAGAGAAAAGAGAAGGAAAAAAAUAAAAAAAAUAAUAAAAAAACGAGGAAAUAAAAAGAGGCAAGUGCCUGGAACCUCGAAAGAAAGAAAAAGUGAGACGAGAGGUAAAAAUGGACAAGUGUCCGACAGUAGAAUUAGGGGUACAAGAUACCCACCUGAGAGGAAAGAAAAAGAAAAGCAUCUCAUUCUCCUCAUAAAGUUUCAAAAAGCAAGGAAGGUAUGUAUCCCCUCAAAAGAGCAAAAGUAGAAUUAGACUUUCACCAUUGUUAUCACCAUCAUCACCAUACACCAUUCAUUCGCCACACAUGAACAUCUUGAUUUGGCUUAUUGAUUUGUUUCUUUGGAUCCAUGGUUUGACUAUACAAUAAAUGUCUUGUAAGUAUGUAUACUUUAUCUCCCACCUAUGAGCUCCAGAUAUUAAAGCCUUAUUAGAGUAGGGUGAGAGGGAAGGCAAUGUCACUAUGCCUUAUACCACAAAUACCACAUAUCUUGAGAGAAGGCAUAUACCAUCACUGCCUUGGUAAGGAUCCAGAAAUACCACAAAAGAGAGAUUUAGAGAGUCAUACAAGGAAUCUCUGAGUUUUAUUUGAAAAUCUGCAAAAACUCCAGAGCUAUAGCUGAUCAAGAAUAAGAGACAUGGCACUUGGCUAGACUGUUCUAUCUUUUAACUACUCAAGACAGAAGUGACGGUUACAAGUCCCAUGGUGAAAGGUAAAGUAAGUAAGUUUUAGUUCUUGACAGUUUACUCUAACUCAGAGAUGAGAUCUUAUUUAAAAGCAAUUUGUACCGUCAAAUUUUUAAGAUAUUGUAACAAGUUCUAAUCCAUUGCUGAGUCUAUCCUUGCUCAGGGACGAGCAAGAGGUAAGCUUGGGGGAGUUUGUUGACGGUCCUUAAGUACCAAAUAUAAUCAUCAAAUAAACAAAGAAAAUGAUCCAAAUGAAAUCAACAUCUAGACUUAGGGUUUUAUCUGACAGAAUUCCACAAGUUUUGGUGUUUGUCUAUUUCUGCAAGGGGUUAUCAGGAAAUAUGGAAGAAAGGCCCACACAUCGGGAUUACAUAGAGAUAUCAAUGUGCCGCGCAAUUAUCUUACAUCUAGAAGACUCCAGAUGCCACGGGAAGGAAGCGGAGGCCGAACGUGGCCAGAGGCAGGGCGCCCGCCCUCCUGCCGAGCCCAAUCAGGAUUCUCUUUCGGGACGAUGUUCCACCGACCUAAAGGAUCAAGAAUUCCCGUUCAAUCAAUGUCGGUUUGAUCCGACGGCCUAGGUUCACUUGAGGGGACUAUAUAACCAGACCCCCUGGCCCCUGGAAGAGGCACCCCUUGAUCAUUAUUCAUUAUUCAUAGACAGAGCAAAAGCUAGGGUUUAGAGAUGAGAGCUCUCCUCUCUUCUCUAAACUAGAGUAGAUCUAGAUAGUAGCAAGAUGGAGAGCGAGGGUGGAUUGGAGGAGAGGCCGGACUGUCGGUUCUUCCUCUGGUUGUACUUCAUCAUGAUCAAGCUCUAAUCAAGCUUGCUCAUGGGAUGACUCUAGUAAUCUACUUCUAAUUCAUUAUGCAAUUACUAAUUAUGUAUGUUCUGGUUCACAACUCUUUUAAGUAUUCUAAUCUAUAGGACGCUAUAGGUGAGAGUUGUAGUAUAGGUGUAAGCGAGGUGCUUAGAUCUAGAUUACUUGUGGAUAUCCCCUGUCUAGCUGGAUCGUGUGGUAGGCCGCGUAGGUGACAGUUACGUUGGUCCUCUGUAGUCCACCUCUCGUUAGAAGGACGGGUAGGGUUUAUCGGCCUAAGGAUAAGCAUCCUUUGUGGUGUACUCUUAUCACAUGGUUCGUCCCAGACAUAGACAUACCCCUUUGAAGUAGAGAAACCAUAGUUAUUAUCUCUAUUCUGCUACUAUCGCCCAUAUACUAGAAUUGCUCUAUUCUCUAUUCCCAUAUUAUCACUCACUGUUAUCUUACCUUUAAUAUUGUUCUUAUUCGAUUCUACCAUCUUUCCUAUUUACACUUAUUUACUUAUCUUGGUCAAGUUAGAGCGUAGAUUAGUUCUCCCGUUUCCCUAUGGAUACGAUAAAACCUUUAACCGGGUAAAAGCUAUAACGGUAUCCAUGCGCUUGCGGAUUAUCUGUGUGCGUAUAAAUACCAUAGUACACUCUAGUGCCAUGCUGGGGAUGACAACCUAGUAUUCAAGUGGUGUUAGCAAGUGUCAACAGCCACCACAUCAAUUAGACAUCUAGAUUAGCAUAGCUACAUAGGAUUAGAACUAGAAGGAGUCAAUCUUCGAUUGGUUUCCGGAUCUGUCAAGAGGAUUCUUGGUAAUUAUCUAAUUGUUCUUCUAAUUGUUCUUCUAAUCAUCUUUGUUCUUCAAUGUUAUGAAUAUGACUUUGUUCUACUUCAAUAUAUUGCUUAUGACUUUGCUCUACUUAUUUAUAAUCAAGAUUAUAUUGUUCUUAGUUUAUCAUAGUUAUGUACUUGGCUUAGUUAGAUUGGAUCUAUAUACAUGUUUAGCAUCGUAUAGCGUUUAUCCAUCGGAUCCAUGGGUAAAUGAUAGAUAUUGUGUAGGCAUGGUGCUUAUACCGUAUUUAUCUGCGAUUCUACCCAAUAUGCCAGAUCGUGGGGUAGUUCGUGAUAGUGACAGCUUCAUUGAUUCUUAUAUAGUCCCCCUCUCGUGUAUUGGGCUGGCAGAGCAACAUUAUUAUAGGGGAGUGAUUGCUAUGUUUCUCAUUUACCUUGCUAAUAUCACUAUGCAUGGGCGUAGUCUUGUCUCGCAAUGAUUGCUAAGUAUGCUUGCACUAACUAUGAUAAUGCUAAACUAUAUAGUUGAGAAUAACUUAGGAAAUAUUCUUGUAGUUCGUUCUAAUACCAUGCUAAUGACUUUCUAGAGUAUCUAAUUGAGGUGCUUAUCAUAUUUAUAUGUGGCUGAUCAGAUUAAUUAUCUUUGUCACUAUUCAUUACUUCAUAUAUCUUUUAUGUGACACUUAUCACUGUAUGAAAGAGUUAGAUAAAUGUUCUCAAUUAUAUAUGCAAUGAUAGAUACUCAAUCUCAUAUUCUAUUCUGUAAUCAAUAUUGAUGAUUGUUAAUCCCUUCCCAGUGGUAAAAAUAUAAAUAACGAUACCUGGAAUACUUCCCGGUUAAAAUGCUACAUCGGUAUUAAUCUGUGCGCUUGCAGAUCCCAUUCCUUAUCUAUUAUUUAUUUAGAAGAGCAAUUGCAUAUUUCAAUACCGCGUCUCUCAUGUCAUGCUGGGGAUGACAACUUGGCUUAAGUGGUAUGAGGGAUAGGUUUGGCAUUUUUGGCACCGUUACUAGAAUUAGAAAGCUGUCUACUUUUGGUAAUAAUGUUAAGAAUACCCAACAAGCAUUUUUUGGCGCCGUUGCUGGGGAAGGUUGAUUACUAAUCAAGAAUGGAUAUAGAUUUUGAGUUAUCAUUUGCAUCACUAAUAUGAUUGAGCUUAUUAAUUCUCUCAUACAGUUUUACCCUGAUAUUUUCCUAUUUUAUCUUAUGCAGGGGAAUGUAUGAAUAGAAGACAUCUUCCAGGAAAUUUUGUUGACAAUCCCGAAGCGUUAUUCAAGAAGACAAGAGCCAAGCUCAAGAAGAGAUCAUCAACACUUCAACAAGAAGCUUGAUCCAAUCAAGAAGAUCACCGGAACUUGUCUUCAGAGUUCGAAGCCAUGGCGAACAAAUCAAUCCACGAGUUCUCAGCUCCCACUACGGACAACAUCCGCACUGGACCUGCUGCAGAGAUCGACGGAAACUUUGAGCUAAAGCCUAGACUUAUCAACAUGGUGCAAUCCAACCAGUUCUGUGGGAAGGCACAUGAAGAUGCUAGUGCUCAUCUCCAACACUUCCUGGAGAUUUGCAGUACAUUUACCAUAUCAGGAGUUUCCAGAGAUGCUAUACUGCUUCGCCUCUUCCCAUUCUCACUGUUAGGAAGAGCGAAGCAGUGGUUCUACGCUACAAAGGAGAAGAAUACUACGCGGGCACUCUGCUCAACAAACUUCUUGGCUAAGUUCUUUCCCGUGGGCAAGACCAAUGCUCUCCGUGGGAAGAUUACAAGUUUUUAGUAACAAAAUGAUGAAUCCGUUCUAGAAGCAUGGGAGCGCUUUCAAGACAACAUCCUAGAAUGUCCCCAUCAUGGAAUGGAGAGUUGGCUACUAAUGCAGACAUUUUAUCAUGGGCUCGGCAAUAGUGCCCGAGAAACCAUGGAUGCUGCAGCUAGAGGAGCAUUUUUAUCACUUACUAUACCACAAGCCACAACUCUUGUGGAGAAGAUGGCGUCCAACCAAGGCUGGAAUGAUGAGAGGACCCAGACACGCAAGAGAGGUGGAGGUAUGCAUCAGCUCAAGGAGGUAGACAUGCUGUCUGCAAAGCUAGACCUACUCAUGAAGAAGCUCGAUGAUAGAGCUGGAGAUAAGAAAGAAGUUAUGCACAUCUACGACUCUCACAUGACUUGUGAGGAGUGUGGAGAUACUGGACACUCAGGCAAUCACUGCCCUGAGAUGCUUGAGGAUGUGAACUACAUCAACAGUAACAACAAUAACUACUACAACCGUCCUCAACAAAAUCAAGGUUGGAAUCAACAGAGGCCUAACUACUCAGGUAAUUAUCAAGGUAACAAUUCUUACAACAAUAAUAAUAAUUUUCCACCUCCGAGAGAGUUAGUGUCUAAUCAAGGAAAGCUAAUGGAUAACCUAUCUAAGAAAUUGGCAUCUAAUGAUAUAAUGCUAGAAAAUAUAAAUAAUAGAAUGGAUAAUUUCUCUACUGCCAUCAAGAAUCAAAUUAGCUUUAAUAAAAUGAUUGAAUCUCAGUUAAAUCAAAUAGCUGCUACAGUUCCUACUACUAACCCCGGUAUACCAUCACAACCGGAAGGAUUAGAAUCUACAAAUCUUGUAGACAUGUUUGAUGCAGGUAAUAACUAGAGUAACCCCGUCACUGAAUUCUACACUGACCUUCUACUGGUCAAGAGAGGCGAUCCAGGACGCCCCGUCAUCCCGAUCUCCAUCGGCAUGGUGGACAUCCCAGAAGCACUCUGCGACUUUGGCUCUAGCGUCAACAUUAUGCCCAGGGUACUCUAUGAAAAAUUCUUUACAUAUCCUUUAUUAGAGACAACCAUGUGUUUGCAGUUUGCAGAUCAGGCAUUAAGUUUUCCAAAAGGAAUAUUGAAGAACCUUUGUGUCCGAGUUGGUACCUUGUAUGCCCUAGCAGACUUCGUGGUGAUAGAGACCGGUAAUGAUGAGAGAGCACCCAUCAUCUUAGGGAGGCCAUUCUUAAACACCUCGGGAGCUGUCAUCUAGACGUGAAUCAAGGAAGAGGACCAACAGGAGGAACAGGAACAAGCAAGUGUGGACCGAGUCAGCUAAGAUGAUCACUGCAGUUCAUGGAGGCCAAGAUCAUCAACUUAAGUCACCAUUUUUGACCAAGAAGGACGACCCAGGAAUGCCAAGCAUCUACUGCUCCAUAAAUGGAUACAGCUUCUACAAGACGACUUGUGACACCGGAUCGGGCGUCAACAUAAUGGCCGCAGUCACCUAUCGGCUCUUGUUCGGAACCAUGCCCCUAAGACCAACAUACAUUCAGCUCCAGAUGGCAGAUCAGACAUUUCGAGAAGUUAAAGGAACAGUAACUGAUGUCCCAAUCAAAAUAGACGAUCAUUUUGUCUACACAGACUUUCAGGUUAUUGACAUGAGAGAAGAUGAAUACGAUCCACCCAUCAUCCUUGGAAGACCGUUCCUCAGCACCGUUAAAGCAAUCAUCUACAUUGGAACUGGAGAAGUCCAUAUGCACUUCGCCUCAGUGAAGGUACGCCAUUAUUUUACUGACCCUAACUAUAUCGUUGAAGAAUCUAAGCAGGUAAGAAAACGACGCAACCGCAACCAGAGGAGGCAGAUCAUCAAGGACGGAUGGGCAGACUAUGAAGGAGAAGUGGUAAGGUCAGAAGACGUAGAGUUUAAACAGAAUUAUCCAGAGAAGACCGUAGCAUCGAGUCAGGUAUGGAAAGAGAAGAUAACUAUACAUGAAGAAGAGGCGCUACCGGAAGUACCGACAACGCCACCCAACGAAUCCCAGGACAAUUGAAGAAAGAGGAGAAUCCCGUUCGGAGGACUUAAAAACACCGAACGUCUUGCCAAGAGGUAAACUUGGUAGUUAUCCUUUCCCUUUCAAUUAUUUUAAACAGUUUGCUUAGUUAAUCAUGUUCAUGCUAUCCUAAAAAGAAAAUAAAAAUGUGAAAAAUAGUAAGCCCCAUGUGAGUAUACAUGUGGCAUAAAACCCAUAAGUACAUUCACUAUGGUGGCAUAAAAAUAAAAUAAAUAUUUUCUGCUCUAUAAAACGAAAAUAUAAAAACAGGAAGUAAUAUUUAUUAAGGAGGCUCAACAUGAUAAAGGCUAGAUAUUUAUGCUAACACUUAAUCCGUUCCACAAGCUUUGUUGUCUAUUUGAGCUCCACAGAAUUUAAGAAUCAAGAAGACUAGCAGACGGAGGACAUUCUAAUCGCUGUCAGAAUGCUGCUGACUUUCAAAUACACCUCUGCCACCUGCUAGCUACAUCAAGAGAAAUUACGUCAAAAUUCAGCUUGGGGGAGAGCACCCCCAUUUAUCCCGCUAAGUAUCUCUAUCUAUCUUUCUUUAUACUUAUACUAUAUUAAAAUAUAGAUAUACAUAAUUAUGGAAAAACAAAUAAAGAUUUUAUGUUUAUAUAUAUCUCUUUUGCUUAGUGUGUUUAAUAAAUAAAUAAAGUGGCUAUGCUAAUCUGUAUCUAAAUAAAACUCUAGCAUGGAUAUGAUGAAUAGUUGCUCUGCCUAAUUUGCAAUUUUAAGUUCUCUCACUAGUUUAGAUAUAACUGUUAUAAUUUAAAGCUUGCUCUAAACCUAAAUUUGUGGGAUGAAAACUUGAUCUGAAGUCUAAGUUGUUAACGAAUAUGAUAUGGGAAGGUUGAGCUGCUGUUUAUCUAUUCCUAGAGAUGCUAGAAUUCUGGAGAAUUUUAUCUUUGAAAAUCUUUAAAAUAUUACAUGAUGAGUUCCUGUAUGAUGAGAGUUUAAAUUCCUACUACAGCCAUAUAUACAUGCUUGCUAGACUUUGAGCCACACAUUUAUUUUACUGCUUAUGAGCAUUGAGUGUGGUAAAGCUGUGUAGACCCUUAGGAGCUUGUCAUGUGGUUAAAUCAAGAUUUCACUUGCACGUACACUCAUAUAUGCUACUUCUACUCCGGAAGUACCAUCCGCAUAUAUCCACCCAUUUCCAUCUCCAGAAUCACCCAAAAAUAUUCUACUCCUAAUCCGGGAGAGAAUAGCCAAAUUUUUUUUUGUUUUUCCCUUAUAAAAUAAAUGCUCCAGUUAUCUUGUUACUACCACUUGCUAUAUUAUCUCAAGAGAUGAGUGCUCUAAAAAAAGAGAGAAAAAAAGAAAUAAAAAAAUACGAGGAAAUAAAAAGGGACAAGUGCCCGGAACCUCGAAAGAAAAGAAAAAGUGAGACGAGAGGUAAAAAUGGACAAGUGUCCGACAGUAGAAUUAGGGGUACAAGAUACCCACCUGAGAGAAAAGAAAAAGAUAGAGCAUCUCAUUCUCCUCACUAUUCAAAAAGCAAGGAAGGUAUGUAUCCCCUCAAAUGAGCAAAAGUAGAAUUAGACUUUCACCAUUGUUAUCACCAUCAUCACCAUACACCAUUCAUUCGCCACACAUGCACAUCUUGGUUUGACUUAAUGAUUUGUUUCUUUGGAUCCAUGGUUUGACUAUGCAAUAAAUGUUUUGUAAGUAUGUAUAUUUUAUCUCCCACCUAUGAACUCCAGAUAUUAAAGCCUUAUUAGAGUAGGGUGAGAGAGAAGGCAAUGUCACUAUGCCUUAUACCACAAAUACCACAUAUAUUAAGAGAAGGCAUAUGCCAACACUGCCUUGGUAAUGAUCCAGAAAUACCACAAAAGAGAGAUUUGAGAGAGUCAUACAAGGAAUCUCAGAGUUUUAUUUGAAAAUCUGCAAAAAAACUCUAGAGCUAUAGCUGAUCAAGAAUAAGAGACAUGGCACUUGACUAGACUGUUCUAUCUUUUAACUACUCAAGAUAGAAGUGACGGUUACAAGUCCCAUGGUGAAAGGUAAAGUAAGUAAGUUUUAAGUCUUGACAGUUUACUCUAACUCAGAGAUGAUAUCUUAUUUAAAAAGCAUGUGUACCGUCCAAUUUUUAAAAGUAUUGCAGCAACUUCUAAUCUAUCCUUGCUUAGGGACGAGCAAGAGGUAAGCUUGGGGGAGUUUGUUGACGGUCCUUAAGUAUCAUAUUUAAGAAUCAAAUAAACAAAGAAAAGGAUCCAAAUGAAAUCAACAUCUAGACUUAGGGUUUUAUCUGACAGAAUUCCAUGAGUUUUGGUGUUUGUCUAUUUCUACAGGGGGUUAUCGGGAAAUACGGAAGAAAGGCCCACACAUCGGGAUUACAUAGAGAUAUUAACAUGCCGCACAAUUAUCUUACAUCUCGAAGACUCCAGAAGCCACGGGAAGGAAGCGGAGGCCGAACGGGGCCAGAGGCAGGGCGCCUGCCCUGUUUCCCUAGGCGCCCGCCCUCUGUUGGAGUCCAAACAGGACUUUGUUUCGUGGGAGUUCUCCACCAACCUAAAGGAUCAAGGAUAACCGUUCAAUCUAUGUCGGUUUGAUCCAACGGCCCAUAUUCACUUGAAGGGACUAUAAAACCAGACCCCCUGGCCCCUGGAGGAGAGAGCCUCUCAACCCUAAUUCAUUAUUCUUCAAGGGAGAAGAAGCCUCUAAUCAAGAUUAGAGCCACCACAUCAAUUAGACAUCUAGAUUAGCAUAGCUACGUAGGAUUAGAACUAGAAGGAGUCAAUCUUCGAUUGGUUUCCGGAUCUGUCAAGAGGAUUUUUGGUAAUUCUCUAAUUGUGCUUCUAAUUGUUUUUCUAAUAAUCUUUGUUCUUCAAUAUUAUGAAUAUGACUUUGUUCUACUUUAAUAUAUUGUUUAUGACUUUGCUCUACUUCUUUAUAUUCAAGAUUAUAUUGUUCUUAGUUUAUCAUAGUUAUAUACUUGGCUUAGUUAGAUUGGAUCUAUAUACAUGCUUAGGAUCGUAUAGCGUUUAUCCAUCGGAUCCAUGGGUAAAUGAUAGAUAUUGUGUAGGUGUGGUGCUUAUACCGUAUUUAUCUGCGAUUGUACCCAAUAUGCCAGAUCGUGGGGUAGUUCGUGAUAGUGACAGAUUCAUUGAUUCUUAUAUAGUCCCCCUCUCGUGUAUUGGGCUGGCAGAGCAAUAUUAUUACAGGGGAGUGAUUGCUAUGUUUCUCAUUUACCUUGCUAAUAUCACUAUGCAUGGGCGUAGUCUUGUCUCACAAUGAUUGCUAAGUAUGCUUGCACUAAUUAUGUUAAUGCUAGACUAUAUAUUUGAGAAUAACUUAGGGAAUAUUCUUGUAGUUCGUUGUAAUACCAUGCUAAUGACUUUCUAAAGUAUCUAAUUGAGGUGCUUAUCAUAUUUAUUAUGUGGCUAAGUUAUGAUCAGAUUAAUUAUCUUUGUCACUAUUCAUUACUUCAUAUAUCUUUUAUGUGACACUUAUCCCUGUAUGAAAGAGUUAGAUAAAGGUUCUCAAUUAUACAUGCAAUGAUAGAUACUCAAUAUCAUAUUCUAUUCUGUAGUCAAUAUUGAUGAUUGUUAAUCCCUUCCCAGUGGUAAAAAUAUAAAUAAUGAUACCUGGAAUACUUCCCGGUUAAAAUGCUACAUCGGUAUUAAUCUGUGCGCUUGCAGAUCCCAUUCAUUAUUUAUUUAGAAGUGCAAUUGCAUAUUUCAAUAUCGCGUCUCUCAUGUCAUGCUGGGGAUGACAACUUGGCUUAAGUGGUGUGAGGGAUAGGUUUGGCAUUUUUGGCACUGUUACUAGAAUUAGAAAACUGUCAACUUUUGGUAAUGAUGUUAAGAAUACCCAACACUAAGCAGGUAAGAAAACGACGCAACCGCAACCAGAGGAGGCAAAUCAUCAAGGACGGAUGGGCAGACUAUGAAGGAGAAGUUGUAAGGUCAGAAGACGUAGAGUUUAAACAAAAUUAUUCAGAGGAGACCGAAGCACCGAGUCAGGUAUGGAAAGAGAAGAUAACUAUACAUGAAGAGGAAGCACCGCUAGAAGUACCAACUACGCCACCCAACGAAUCCCAGGACAAUUGAGAAAACGGAGAGUCCCGUUCGGAGGACUUAAAAACACCGAACGCCUUGCCAAGAGGUAAACUUGGUAGUUAUCCUUUCCCUUUUAAUUAUUUCAAUUAGUUUACUUAGUUAAUUAUGUUCAUGCUAUUCUAAAAUAAAAUAAAAAUGUGAAAAAGAGUAAGCCCCAUGUGAGUAUAUGAGUGGCAUGAAACCCAUAAGUACAUUCACUGUGGUGGCAUAAAAAUAAAGUAAAUAUUUCGUUUCUGCUCUAUAAAAUGAAAAUAUAAAAAUAGGGAGUAAUAAUUAUUAAGGAGUCUCAACAUGAUAAAGGCUAGAUAUUUAUGCUAACACUUAAUCAGUUCCACAAGCUUUGUUGUCUAUUUGAGCUCGACAAAAUUUAAGAAUCAAGAAGACUAGCAGAUGGAGGACAUUCUAAUCGCUGUCAGAAUGCUGCUGACUUUCAAAUACACCUCUGCCACCUGCUAGCUACAUCAAGAGAAAUUACGUUAAAAUUCAGCUUUGGGGGAGAGCACCCCCAUUUAUCCCGCUAAGUAUUUCUAUCUAUCUUUAUACUUAUACUUAUAUAAAUAUACAUAACUAUGAAAAACCAAAUAAAGAUUUUGUGCUUAUAUAUAUAUAUAUCUUUUACUUAGUGUGUUUAAUAAAUAAAUAAAGUGGCUAUGCUAAUCUGUAUCUAAAUAAAACUCUAGCAUGGAUAUGAUGAACAGUUGCUCUGCUUAAUUUUCAAAUUUGAAGUUCUCUCUCAAGUUUAGACAUAACUGUUAUAAUUUAAAGCUUGCUCUAGACCUAAAUUUGUGGGAUGAAAACUUGAUUUGAAGUCUAAGUUGUUAACGGAUACGAUAUGGGAGGGUUGAGCUGUUGUUUAUCUGUUCCUAGAGAUGCUAGAAUUCUGGAGAAUUUUAUCCUUGAAAAUCUUUAAAAUAUUGCAUGAUGAGUUCUUGUAUGAUGAGAGUUUAAAUUCCUACCACAGCCAUAUAUACAUGCUUGCUGUUGAUAUUUGGGAACUGUCGACGAAAGCUGGUCGGCAGUCUACCUUGGGGUAUACCCACGGUAGUAGUUUAUCGGUAGACGGUGCGCAAACUACGAACUCGAUGGUGACGCAAGACUCGGACAAGCUUUUUAUCCAGGUUCGGCCGCCGAGUUGGCGUAAUACCUACCUCCUGCGUCUGGUUGUAUUGAUUUGUGUUGAGAGAAUAUGAUGUAUGACUUGUCCUCUAGGGGACCCCUGCCCCUCCUUAUAUAUCCUGAAGGGACAGAGUUACAAGCAAAGUAUCCUAUUUGGUACAAAAUCUUGUAGCCUUGCGGUGCACGCCGACCAGUCGUGCGCCGCACGUCUUCAUCUUGUGGGCCGAGCCACCUCUGAUGGUGCGGCCCAUAUAGGCCCAUGAGGGUAUAGGGGUUUAUACCCCCACAGCUAGUCCCCGAGCACCAUGUAUUGUGAUGUAACACGCCGUCUUGAGCUUCUUCGAUCAGCGAGGCUUGACAUCUUCAAUAAACAGGAAAGUCGCCCAAACAGUUGCAACGAUAUUUUGACCAACUCAAAAGACAGUUGAUCAACAUUGACAUCAAAGAAGCAGGUUGUUCGAAGAAUGCAUGGUGCUCCAAAUUAAAAAAGAUUUCUUUCCUGGUGAAGUGUGCCCACUUUACUUUUCUGAAAAGUAUAGUCUUUCAAAAAGCAAGCACAUUCACCGCAAGGUGAAGUGUGCCCACUUAGUCCCCGAGCCUGGUAGUAGGUGACGUAGGCACGUGGUGCCAGGGUCAAAAGAAAAGUCCUCAAAGAAAUUCUGAAACUGAGAUGCAUCGCCUGAUGCAUCGUACCGAUGUAGUCCCCGAGCUUGCUGGAAGGCGAAGUAUGAGCCUUGUAGCAAGGUCUAAAAAAUUGAAUUUACCAGUCCCCGAGCAUAUCAUGCUCGUAUGCAAUUGAAUAGACUAAUCGACCAGUCCCCGAGCAUAGAACGCUCGGUGGUCGGUACAGUCCCCGAAUUCUCAAAUUGGUGGGCUGGUCGACCAGUCCCCGAGCGUAUAGUGCUCGGUGGUCGGUGCAGUCCCCAAGCUCUUAAAUUGGUGAGCUGGUCGACCAGUCCCCGAGCGUAUAGUGCUCGGUGGUCGGCACAGUCCCCGAGCACGGCGUAGGGACCGGUGGACAAGUCCCCGAGCGUGGUUGGGAACGUAAACGUGCUCGGUGGUUGGCACAGUCUUCGAGCAUAGCAUAGAGAGUAGUCGACAAGUCCCCGAGCGUGGUUGGGAACGUAAACGUGCUCGGUGGUCGGAGCAGUCCCCGGGCACAGCGUAGGGAAUAGUCGACGAGUCCCCGAGCGUAGCUUGUCGACUGGGCCAAACCCCUGAAAAAUAAAUAUAAAGAAUAGGUAGUACAUGAUGUAUAAAUAAACUUUAGAUAAAAAUCAGUACUGAGAUAAGUUUUAGAUUUUUUGUUAUAAAAUUAGCACAAGUAGUUAAUUCAUCCUAGAGCUUGUACCAGCUCUGGUCUAGCCAACAAUCAGCAUGAGGUGCGGAACCUAGGCAUGCGUAGGAUUGUCAGCCACGUCAGAGAGUACUGCCGACCACCCGGAACGCAGAGGGCGGAUCUCGUGCACGUGUAGGGAGGAGUCGGAGACAGUACCGGCUCUGGAAAGCUCGUGUAGGAGAAAAAACUAGUCGGCUAAAAAAGUUGUUUUGAAGAAUAAUAAAAAAUAUUAUGCCAAAAAUAAAUAAGAUAUUAGAAGUGUACUUAUCUUUGGAUGAAAGUCUAGUUAGUGACGACAAAAUUGUCCGGCCUUCGAGCUUUUCGACUUGUCAUGAUGGUGGUCGCUGUUGUCGUAGCGUCGUUCUUCGCGGCGAUUAUUAUUGCGACUCGUGGUCAGAGCAAGUAGGCCAAACAAUUUGGUCGAUGGCCCGAGCAGGUCGGUGUUGUCGAUCUGCCUCCCUUUGUAGCAGGGAAGCAGGUGACGCGUUGUCGGCGUGGUCGGAGACGUUGCUGGAGUAGUCGGAGUCGUAGCCAGCGUGGUUGAAGCCGCCGCCGACGUCGAUGAAGAAGUGGUUGGCGCAGAUCGGAUCUACACCUCCUCCGUGGUCAUGGCGGUGAAGUUGUUGAAGCUGACGGUGAACGUGAAGUCGCCCGCCAUGGCCGCGAAGUCGGGGAUGAUGGCCAUCUUGUUCGUCGGGAGAGCUGUACGCACACCCCCUACCUGGCGCGCCACUGUCGACGAAAGCUGGUCGGCAGUCUACCUUGGGGUAUACCCACGGUAGUAGUUUAUCGGUAGACGGUGCGCAAACUACGAACUCGAUGGUGACGCAAGACUCGGACAAGCUUUUUAUCCAGGUUCGGCCGCCGAGUUGGCGUAAUACCUACGUCCUGCGUCUGGUUGUAUUGAUUUGUGUUGAGAGAAUAUGAUGUAUGACUUGUCCUCUAGGGGACCCCUGCCCCUCCUUAUAUAUCCUGAAGGGACAGAGUUACAAGCAAUGUAUCCUAUUUGGUACAAAAUCUUGUAGCCUUGCGGUGCACGCCGACCAGUCGUGCGCCGCACGUCUUCAUCUUGUGGGCCGAGCCACCUCUGAUGGUGCGGCCCAUAUAGGCCCAUGAGGGUAUAGGGGUUUAUACCCCCACAGGAACGCAAUAAGGAAUUGAUCCGCAAGCGCACGGAUAUCGGUGAGCACUUCACCCGGGAAAUUAUCCAGAGUAUCGUAUUUAUUUUUUUACCACUAGGAGAAAGAGUGCAUCUGACUAACCGGUCUAUUACUACUAACCUUUAGGCACAAAGAAUGUCUUUCGAUGUGAGUGAUAAAUAGAGAAGACUGCAACCGUAGUCUCCUUCUAACCUUGGUAAGGAUGAUCUACUGCUCUAAUGGGGAGGCUAACGGAAUCUAGACACCACAAAGGAUGUUCAACCCGCACCUAUAAACCCUAUCCUUCCUGCUAACGAGAUGUGAUCUACAAAGGUAGCUCGGAAAUGUCACGUUCCUCACUACUACCACGGUCCAGCUAGUCAGGGAAUAUCUAUGAGUACCCCAGCCUAAACACUACGUUUACACCAGCAAUGAUUACUCUAAACUCUACGCGAAGAGAUUAAAGUAAACUCAUAAACCAUAAGAACAAUAAAACAAGAACUUACUAGAAUUUAGAAGUCGAAUUACUAAAGAAUCCUAGGAGCAAGCUUCGGGUUAGGAGAACUUGAUCCCGCAGGUACAAGCUUGGAGUAGACACCGACAGGCCGGGCUUCCUCCACUCUACACCUCCACUCUAUCUCUCUCAAUCUAGUAGAAACUAGAAGAUCUAUUUCUACCAUACAUUGAUUGCUAAGCCUAAAAAGAAAUAUUAAUUAGAGAAGAGGUUUUCCUUCGAGGGCACCCCUCAGUCUCUAUGAUAAUUUCUCCAUGUCUUCUCCAGGGGCCAGGGGCCUUGCUUAUAUAGUCCUCCCCUUCUAUGCGUUUUUGGGUCGAUAGCCGAGGUGGUACUAUGUUUUUCUUGAUCCAAUAGGUCGGUGGAAUAUCCCGAGCGAAGGAGUCCUGAAUUGGCUCCAGCAGGGGGGCGGGCGCCCAGGCUUCCAGGGCGGGCGCCCUGGGCCUGGCCCAGUUUGGCCUCCGCUUCGGUCUCGUGGCUUCUGGAGUCUUCUAGAUGAUGUAAAAUUGCGCGGUGCGUUGAUAUCUCUAUGUAAUCCUGGCAUGUGGGCCUUUCUUCCUUAUUUCCUGAUAACCCCCUGCAGAAAUAGAUAAACAACAAAACUCGUGGAAUUCUGUCAGAUCAAACCCUAAUUCUAUGUGUGAGUUGCAUAUUGGUCCUUUUUCUUGUUUAUUUGAUAAUUAAAAUUGAUACUUAAGAACCGUCAACAAAUACCCCCAUACUUAGGCUUUUACUCGUCCUCGAGAAAAGGAUGGUUAAGAAAAAUAUCUGGGGUAAACAUUUAAAACAUUCUCUUUAUAAUUGCAGGGUGUUAAAAAUUCCACUGUGUACCAUAGUCAGGGAAGUGUAUGAUUAAGAGUAAAGAUCCUUUCUUCUCAAUCCUGUCACUUGGAGUUUUUGUAUAUUUUUGAAAGAAAGUUAGCAUACCUUUUUAUCCUCAUAGGUUCUCUCAGAUCACUCAUUAUCUUUUAUAUAUAUCUCACUGAGGCUGUUUUAAUUUUGCAAAAAUUCUCAAGCAUUCUUACUUUGCAUUUAUUGCUUGAUCAAAACGGGAUCCGAGGAGGGGAAUGUCAUACUCUUAGAUCAAAGACUUUAGAAAUUAAGAACUUUGUCAACUCUUGCUGGCAUAUUGCUUAUUAGAGGGACCAUGGGCUAUCAUUUUUUUUAAGUGGAUACCGAGGUACCCCUAAUUCUACUGCCGGACACUUGUCCAUUUUUUUCUGCGAGGUUGUCGAGCACUUGCUCCUUUUUAUUUCCUCGAAAUAUCUUAUUUUUGCAUAGCCCAUGCCUCUAAUGCAAUAAUACUUCGGAAGAGUGAAUCUUACUGAAAUAGUGUCUUGAUCUUGGGAGCAUGAUAAAUCUCUCAACAAGGGUCUAACUCAUUUUGAACAAACUCAAUACAGAGUAGAUAGCUUUUAUAAUCAUAAUUAAUAUUUUUAGUUUUAUCAGGCAUAUAAAACACUGAGGAUGGUAGCUAGAAUUUUGAAUAUUUUGAAAUAAAUUCUCCAAGCAACAAUGAUAUCAAGAAUAAGAAACUCAUAAUCUACCAUCACAUAUUCCAUAUUGACUUAAGUAACAUAGGGUUUUAAAAUGAUUUUAUAAUAAUUGCAAGUUUUCAGGAAAUAUCACAGAUUGAGAUUAAGCAUGAUUAGAAAUAUUUUAAUCUUUUUUUUUAAUUUAUCAUGUCGGAAACAGUAAUCUGCAUAAUCCAGAAUAAAUGUAUGUAUGAAGUAAAGUGUGCAGAGUGUGUACCUGAGUGGUGGAGUGGUGUAGUUGGAGUGUGUUUGGCAUGUCGAGGGAUCUCCCCCAUACUUGUUUUCUGCUUUCUUGCACAAAAAUAAAGUAGAGACACACAAGACAUAAUAAUAAUAAUAAUACUCUUUAUUGAUCUUGAGGCAUUUAUUACAAAAGACUAAUAGCAAACUGAUAGCAAACAUAAACUGAAUUUAAAGAUAGAUAACUAAGAUGUAUUGCCUCAAGGUCUAAUCUAGAUAACUUAGCGGCGCUCUAAUUCCUUGAUCUUCUUGUUGGCACUGGCAAGAUCCUGCCUAAGGCCUAGUAUAAUGGUGUUGUGGUUAGAGAGCUGUCUAGUGAGGGAAUUAAUCGAGGACUGAAGGUCUAUGAUAAUUCAUCUAGCCUGCGAACUUCCUCAUCAAUAUCCAUUAUAGUCUUGCGACGCUUGGGAGGUGUCUCAAAAGCAUUGAGAGAGUGCUUCGGGGCUGCUUUUGGAGGGAUGAAACGGACUUUGGCUGCUCUAAUCCCUUCAAAGUAAGGCCUUUCCUCCUCCGUAGUGUAGCGAACGCUGCUGAUCUCGCCGCUUCGGUUGGUCUUGACUCCAACGACCCUCUCAUUGGGUCUAGGUGGAAGGAUCCUUGUGCCGAUUGGCACCUUGAUAGUGGUCUUCGUCUUGGAUGAUGGUCCUUUGAGGAGUAGGGGUUGUGGUGGUGCGGUGAGAACUGGUUGAGCAUGGUAAGAUUGGGCGGAGCUGCGUUGGCGUAAUGGCAUGGCUUCUAGCUGACGCUCUGUGUUGGCCGGGACGAGAGCACGAGCAUCGGGGUUUUCCACUGGCUCUAUGUUGAGGUUGAAGGGGACGACUUCCCAAUCGUCGUGGUACUUGUCGGCCAUUGGAGUAGCAAGGAACUAAUAAAAUUUUAAUUGAAGGAGAGCUAAUUAAGCUCUAAUUGAAGGAGAGAAAGGUUGAUGGCUUGGUGUUUGAAAACUGAGGUCAGGGGUCUGUUUAUAUAGGGGUCAAAAGGAUGCCUCUAUGGGUUGUUCGGGUUGCUCCCGUCGAUGUGCGUGCGAAACUUUCCAUCCGAGGGAUUAUUCGGAUCACCCUAAGUGCAUUUUCCAUAACAGAGAAAGUCGGGACCGAGGGGGAACAGGGGCUGGGCGCCCGCCCACUUGACCUGGGCGCCCGCCCUCUCUCUGGCCCCUCUGUGGGCCCACUUCUCCGAGCGCGUUUCUAGAUGCGAAAUUAUUUAGAAAAAUAUAUAUAUGACCCAAAACCAUCAGGCCAAAAGUGUCGGGCUCUAAUUCUCUAUGGGAAGGUAAAAAUGGACUACGUCUAUUUCUUCUAAUUCCUCAUUGGGCUCUAAAAAUAAUUUAAGACGUUGACCAUUUACCUUGAAUAACGUACCUUCACUAUUUUGAAGUGUGAUAGCUCCGUGGGAUGAUGAAUUGAUUACCUUGAAUGGUCCUUCCCAUUUGCUUCGGAGUUUUCCAUGCCCGAAAAGCUUCACCCUGGAAUUAAAAAGUAAUACCUUAUCUCCGGGUGUGAACUCCUUCUUCUUGAUUCUCUUGUCAUGCCACCUCUUGACUCUUUCUUUGUAGAUCUUUGAAUUGUGAUAUGCCUUCUCUCGCCAUUAUUCCAAUUCUGAUAGUUGCAUUCUUCUAUAAUCUCCAGCAACAUCUAGGUCCAUAUUCCAUCUCUUUAUGGCCCAGUGUGCUUUGAACUCUAGUUCAACAGGUAGAUGGCAAGUCUUCCCGUAUACCAAUUGGUAUGGAGACAUCCCAAUUGGGGUCUUGUAUGCUGUCCGGUAUGCCCAGAGUGCAUCAGGUAACUUGUCUUUCCAUGCCGUUCCCAUUUCAUUUACUGUCUUCUGAAGAAUAUUCUUGAUUUGUUUGUUGGAAGUUUCUGCUUGGCCACUUGUCUGAGGAUGAUAGGGGGUAGCGACGUUGUGACGGAUUCCAUGUCUUGAUAGAUAUUGCUUGAAGCGUUUGUCGAUGAAGUGUGCUCCUCCAUCACUUAUCACUACUCUGGGAACUCCAAAUCUUGGAAAUAUAAUUUCUUCAAACAUCCUAUUUGAACUGACGUUGUCGGCAUGCUUGCAAGGUAAUGCUUCUACCCACUUGGAGACAUAGUCAACUGCCACCAAGAUGUACUCGCACUUCUUUGAUGGAGGAAAUGGACCCAUGUAGUCUAUUCCCCAGACAUCAAAGAGCUCAAUCUGAAGGUUGUUGGUGAGUGGCAUUGCAUCCCUUGUAUUUAUGUUUCCGUGCCUUUGACAUGGCCCACAUCUUCUGAUAUAUUGCUUCGUGUCUUCAUACAUUGUAGGCCAAUAGAAUCCACACUGCCAGAUCUUUGAAUGUGUACGGAAUGCUCCAUAAUGACCUCCAUAUGGUGAUGAAUGACAUCUGUCGAUGAUCUUCCAUCCUUCCUCAGUGGUCACACAUCUCCUGAGUAAGCCAUCAGAGCAUACUCGGAAAAGGUAUGGCUCAUCCCAUAUAUGUGAACGACUUUCUUGAGUAAGCUUCUUCUUGUUUGCACCUGGUGGUACAUACCCUGAAACCAUAAAAUUAACAAUAUCUGCAUACCAGGGGUCAGACCUGUUAAUCCCGUAGAGCAUGUCGUCCCGGAGUGAAUCAUUGAUGGGGGUUUCCUGUGGACUCUUAAAAUACAUUCUAGACAAGUGAUCAGCAACAGAAUUUUCUACUCCUUUUUUAUCUUUUAUUUCUAAGUCAAAUUCUUGGAGUAAUAAGAUCCAUCUAAUCAGGCGAGGUUUAGCAUCUUUUUUAGUGAGCAAAUAUUUUAAUGCAGCAUGAUCAAUGUAAACAAUUAUUUUAGCUCCAACUAAAUAAGAUCUAAAUUUAUCAAUGGCAAAGACAACAGCCAGAAGCUCUUUUUCAGUGGUUGCAUAAUUAAGUUGAGCUCCUGUCAAAGUUUUAUUGGCAUAAGCAGUUGCAUGAUGCUUCUUAUUUUUAGUUUGUCCUAAUACUGCCCCCACAGCAUAAUCACUAGCAUCACACAUAAUUUCCAAAGGCAACGACCAAUCAGGGGGUUGAAUGAUUGGUGCCGAGAUGAGUGCUUUCUUUAAUAAAUUGAAAGAUGUUAGACAUGCAUCAUCAAAUUCGAAAGGAGCAUCCUUGGCUAGCAAAAGAGUAAGUGGUCUAGCAAUAAAUGAAAAAUCUUUUAUGAAUCUACGAUAAAAACCAGCAUGGCCAAGAAAGCUUCGAAUUCCUUUUAUGUUCACAGGUGGAGGUAGUUGUUCAAUUACUUCAAUUUUAGCUUUGUCUACCUCAAUACCUCUUUCAGACACUAAGUGUCCUAGCACUAUUCCUUCCCUAACCAUAAAAUGACAUUUUCCCCAAUUAAGGAUUAAGUGCUUUUCUUCACAUCUUUGCAAAACCUUGUCUAAGUUUUCAAGACAACUAUCAAAAGUUUUUCCAUAAACAGAGAAAUCAUCCAUGAAAACUUCCAUAAUCUCUUCAAUCAUAUCAGAAAAUAUAGACAUCAUGCAUCUUUGAAAAGAAGCUGGUGCAUUACAUAACCCAAAAGACAUUCUACGGUAAGCAUAAGUUCCAUAAGGGCAUGUAAAAGUGGUUUUGCUUUGAUCAUCGGGAUGGAUCGGGAUUUGAUGAUACCCUGAAUAUCCAUCUAAGAAACAAAAGAAUGAAUGGUUUGCUAACCGCUCUAGCAUCUCAUCUAUGAAAGGUAAAGGAAAGUGAUCCUUUCUCGUGGCUUUGUUUAAUUUUCUAUAGUCUAUGCACGUCCACCAUCCUGUGACGGUGCGUUGCGGAAUUAGCUCAUUCUUUUCAUUCAUAAUAACUGUCAUGCCUCCCUUUUUAGGUACAACUUGUACUGGGCUUACCCACUCACUGUGCGGCACAGGAUAUAUAAUCCCUGCAUGCAGCAACUUUAUAACUUCCUUUUUAACUACCUCUCUCAUAGUAUUGUUAAGUCUACGUUGGGGUUCUCGAGAGGGUGUAACAGAAGGAUCUGUUAGAAUACGAUGGGUACAAAUCAUAGGACUGAUUCCUGUAAGAUCUUGAAGUGAGUAGCCGAAAACUGAGUGAUGUUUCUCAAGAAUGGUCAUUAAUUGCAGAGUUUGAUCCUGAGUGAGUUUAUCGCUAAUGAUCACAGGGAACUCUGGAUUAUUGUUUAGGAAAGCAUAGGUAAGACCGGGUGGUAAAGUUUUAAGUUCUAUGGGGGGUCUAGGUGUUUCUGCAAACUCAUCUAAUGGUUCAGGCUCAGAAGGUUCGUCUUCUUCUUCUGUGAAGAAAGGAGUUUUGUCUUCUAAGUCUGGUUCAUCUAAAAGCUCUAGAGAUGCAGCCUUUACCUCCUCCAUAGGAUCAGGCAAAAGAUAUGACUCGGCCUUAUUAUUUAAGGAGUGUGAAAUUAUUAUUGGGAAUUGAAAAGUUUUUCCAAAAGAAAUGUGUAGCCUUCCAGUAUGACCUUCAUAAAGGAGUCUUCUAAAAGGUUGUCCUAUUAACAGGUCGAAGUCCCAUGUAUCAAAGAUAUAGAAGUUCAAGUGAACCAUGGAGCCUUCUACUGUAAGAGGUAGGACAUUAAUAAUUCCAAGACUGGGGACUAAUCGUCCCGGAGAUUCCUUUAUGACCUUUGUUGUGGGGGUUAAGAUAAGAUUUUUAAAUAGUUUAAGUGCAAAGGAUUCAGACAUAAUGUUGAUCCCCACAACAGGAUUAUAGAGAGCAUUAAAUCGAUCAGAAUUAUAAGCACAGCGUAUAGUUAUAGAGGGUGUGUCCAAACGGAUCACAUCAGAGGAAAGCUCUGAUUCCUCCAACCAUUCGCUACUCAUUACUGAGAUAAGCUCUCUCAAUUGAUAUUCACUUGGUAAAUAAAUGCUAAACUGGCCAUUUUGGGGUUUGUCAAUAGAAUGGUAGUUUGAAAUAUUUCCAAAAUCGGCAAAAAGAUCGGAUUCUAUAUCCAGCAUGAAGUCCGGUAGUGGAAUUUCUUCCUCUUGUGGCUCAGAACUUGGGAUAGCUAAAGUAGAUGAAGAAUUUGGCAGAGUGUCUACUUCGGCUUCGUAGGUUUCAUCAUGAAGGGUAUUAUCCAUCUCAGCUUCUAGGAUUCUAUCUAGGAUCACUCUUGCUUCAUCAGCAGGGAUGCGAAAGAAAGAACCUCUAGACAUUGUGUGCAGCAUUUGUUUGUGAUUUUUCUGAAGACCUCAAAAAAAGUGAAAUAAAAGAACAGGGUCUUCAAGAUUAAGGUUUGGACCAGAUUCUAAAAGAUCAGAAAAAUGUUUCCAGGAUUUUCCCAAAGUUUCAUUAUCUUUUUGUUUAAAAGAUAGGACUUCGAGUCUAAGGUCGGCUAUACGGUCAAGGGAAUAGAAAUCUAGACAAAAGUUGGCUCGUAAAACUCCCCAUUCACCUUGUUGUUGACUUACCUUCUGACUGUACCAUUGUCUAGCUUCUCCCCUUAGAGAAAAAGGAAAAAGCUUCCAACGUAAAGUUUUAUCAGAAAUGCCUUCAAUGCGAAGACAAUCACAUGUUUGCUCAAAAUCUCUAAUAUGAAGGUAAGGGUUUUCGUCUUCCUUUCCCGAAAAAGAUAAGUUUUGAAUCAUGGCAAUUAACCUAGAACUUAACUUAUACUGGGGUGUUUGGAUAGGCUGUGAUGAUUCCCAUGGUAAAAGGUCAGUUGCUAAAGGGAUUGCAGACUCAUGGAUCGAUUUAGAAUUUUGGUUUUCCAUAAGGUAAGAGUAAAGAAAAAUAAAUAACGAAUAUAAAAGAUAAGAAAAGAUAAAAGUAUAGAUACAAGCUAAUAGCAAGACACAGGUUAUCUCAGCAACCGUCUUUCUUCCCGGCAACGGCGCCAGAAAUGCUUGUUGAUAUUUGGGAACGCAAUAAGGAAUUGAUCCGCAAGCGCACGGAUAUCGGUGAGCACUUCACCCGGGAAAUUAUCCAGAGUAUCGUAUUUAUUUUUUUACCACUAGGAGAAAGAGUGCAUCUGACUAACCGGUCUAUUACUACUAACCUUUAGGCACAAAGAAUGUCUUUCGAUGUGAGUGAUAAAUAGAGAAGACUGCAACCGUAGUCUCCUUCUAACCUUGGUAAGGAUGAUCUACUGCUCUAAUGGGGAGGCUAACGGAAUCUAGACACCACAAAGGAUGUUCAACCCGCACCUAUAAACCCUAUCCUUCCUGCUAACGAGAUGUGAUCUACACAGGUAGCUCGGAAAUGUCACGUUCCUCACUACUACCACGGUCCAGCUAGUCAGGGAAUAUCUAUGAGUACCCCAGCCUAAACACCACAUUUACGCCAGCAAUGAUUACUCUAAACUCUACGCGAAGAGAUUAAAGUAAACUCAUAAACCAUAAGAACAAUAAAACAAGAACUUACUAGAAUUUAGAAGUCGAAUUACUGAAGAAUCUUAGGAGCAAGCUUCGGGUUAGGAGAACUUGAUCCCGCAGGUACAAGCUUGGAGUAGACACCGACAGGCCGGGCUUCCUCCACUCUACACCUCCACUCUAUCUCUCUCAAUCUAGUAGAAACUAGAAGAUCUAUUUCUACCUUACAUUGAUUGCUAAGCCUAAAAAGAAAUAUUAAUUAGAGAAGAGGUUUUCCUUCGAGGGCACCCCUCAGUCUCUAUGAUAAUUUCUCCAUGUCUUCUCCAGGGGCCAGGGGCCUUGCUUAUAUAGUCCUCCCCUUCUAUGCGUUUUUGGGUCGAUAGCCGAGGUGGUACUAUGUUUUUCUUGAUCCAAUAGGUCGGUGGAAUAUCCCGAGCGAAGGAGUCCUGAAUUGGCUCCAGCAGGGGGGCGGGCGCCCAGGCUUCCAGGGCGGGCGCCCUGGGCCUGGCCCAGUUUGGCCUCCGCUUCGGUCUCGUGGCUUCUGGAGUCUUCUAGAUGAUGUAUUGCGCGGUUUGUUGAUAUCUCUAUGUAAUCUUGACAUGUGGGCCUUUCUUCCUUAUUUCCUGAUAACCCCCUGCAGAAAUAGAUAAACAACAAAACUCGUGGAAUUCUAUCAGAUCAAACCCUAAUUCUAGGUGUGAGUUGCAUAUUGGUCCUUUCUCUUGUUUAUUUGAUAAUUAAAAUUGAUACUUAAGAACCGUCAACACUUGCUAGACUUUGAGCCACACAUUUACUAUUUACUGCUUAUGAGCAUUGAGUGUGGUCAAGCUGUGUAUACCCUUAGGAGCUAGUCAUGUGGUUAAAUCAAGAUUUCACGUGCACGUUCACCCACACAUGCUACUUCUACUCCAGAAGUACCAUCCACAUAUAUACAUCCAUUUCCAUCUCCAGAACCACCCAAAAAUAUUCUACUCCUAAUCUUGGAGAGAAUAGCCAAAAACAUCUUUGUCUUUCCCCUAUGAAAUAAAUGCUCAAGUUAUCUUGUUACUACCACUUGCUAUAUUAUCUCAAGAGAUGAGUGCUCUAAAAAAAAGAAGGAAAAAAAUACGAGGAAAUAAAAAGGGGCAAGUGCCCGGAACCUCGAAAGAAAAGAAAAAGUGAGAUGAGAGGUAAAAAUGGACAAGGGUCCGAUAGUAGAAUUAGGGGUACAAGAUACCGACCUGAGAGAAAACAAAAAGAUAGAGCAUCUCAUUCUCCUCACUAUUCCAAAAGCAAGGAAGGUAUGUAUCCCCUCAAAAGAGCAAAAGUAGAAUUAGACUUUCACCAUUGUUAUCACCAUCAUCACCAUACACCAUUCAUUCGCCACACAUACACAUCUUAAUUUGACUUAUUGACUUGUUUCUCUGGAUCCAUGGUUUGACUAUGCAAUAAAUGUCUUGUAAGUAUGUAUACUUUAUCUCCCACCUAUGAGCUCCAGAUAUUAAAGCCUUAUUAGAGUAGGAUGAGAGAGGAGGCAAUGUCACUAUACCUUAUACCACAAAUACUACAUAUCUUGAGAGAAGGCAUAUACCAUCACUGCCUUGGUAAGGAUCCAGAAAUACCACAAAAGAGAGAUUUGAGAGAAUCAUACGAGGAAUCUCUGAGUUUUAUUUGAAAAUCUACAAAAAACUCCAGAGCUAUAGCUGAUCAAGAAUAAGAGACAUGGCACUUGACUAGACUGUUCUAUCUUUUAACUACUCAAGACAGAAGUGACGGUUACAAGUCCCA